GACGAACGCUGGCGGCGUGCCUAAUACAUGCAAGUCGAACGCUUCUUUCCUCCCGAGUGCUUGCACUCAAUUGGAAAGAGGAGUGGCGGACGGGUGAGUAACACGUGGGUAACCUACCCAUCAGAGGGGGAUAACACUUGGAAACAGGUGCUAAUACCGCAUAACAGUUUAUGCCGCAUGGCAUAAGAGUGAAAGGCGCUUUCGGGUGUCGCUGAUGGAUGGACCCGCGGUGCAUUAGCUAGUUGGUGAGGUAACGGCUCACCAAGGCCACGAUGCAUAGCCGACCUGAGAGGGUGAUCGGCCACACUGGGACUGAGACACGGCCCAGACUCCUACGGGAGGCAGCAGUAGGGAAUCUUCGGCAAUGGACGAAAGUCUGACCGAGCAACGCCGCGUGAGUGAAGAAGGUUUUCGGAUCGUAAAACUCUGUUGUUAAAGAAGAACAAGGACGUUAGUAACUGAACGUCCCCUGACGGUAUCUAACCAGAAAGCCACGGCUAACUACGUG
rnacentral:rRNA from 1 species